rnacentral:rRNA from 1 species
UACGUAGGGUCCGAGCGUUGUCCGGAGUUACUGGGCGUAAAGCGCGCGCAGGCGGCCCCGCAGGUCGGUUGUGAAAGCCCCCGGCUCAACCGGGCGGAGGCGAGCGAAACCGCGGGGCUGGAGGCUGGCAGAGGGUGGUGGAAUUCCCGGUGUAGUGGUGAAAUGCGUAGAGAUCGGGAGGAACACCCGCGGCGAAGGCGGCCACCUGGACCAGACCUGACGCUGAGGCGCGAAGGCCGGGGGAGCGAACGGG